UACGUAGGGGGCUAGCGUUGUCCGGAUUUAUUGGGCGUAAAGAGCGUGUAGGCGGCCAUGUAGGUCCGGUGUGAAAACUCGCGGCUUAACCUCGAGAUGUCAUCGGAAACCAUUUGGCUAGAGUCCGGAAGAGGAGAGUGGAAUUCCUGGUGUAGCGGUGAAAUGCGCAGAUAUCAGGAAGAACACCAAUGGCGAAAGCAGCUCUCUGGGACGGUACUGACGCUGAGACGCGAAAGCGUGGGGAGCGAACAGG
rnacentral:rRNA from 1 species